rnacentral:rRNA from 1 species
CACGUAUUUAGCCGUCGCUUCUUCUGUUGGUACCGUCAUUUCUUUCUUCCCAACUGAAAGCACUUUACAAUCCGAAGACCUUCAUCGUGCACACAGAAUUGCUGGAUCAGACUUUUGGUCCAUUGUCCAAUAUUCCCCACUGCUGCCUCCCGUAGGAGUAAGGGCCGUGUCUCAGUCCCCUUGUGGCCGUUCACCCUCUCAGGCCGGCUACCCAUCGUCGCCUUGGUGAGCUGUUACCUCACCAACUAGCUAAUGGGACGCAAAGCUCUCUUACAGCGCAUAUAGCUUUCAUAAAUCUUCCAUGCGGAAAAUUCAUAAUAUCCGGUAUUAGCUAUCGUUUCCAAUAGUUGUCCCAGACUGUAAGGCAAGUUCUUUACGUGUUACUCACCCGUCCGCCACCUUACUAUCACCGAAGUGAAUUCAAGUAGACUUGCAUGUGUUAAGCAUUCUGUCAGCGUUCAUCCUGAGCCAGGAUCAAACUCU